rnacentral:RNase_P_RNA from 1 species
CGAGCGGGCUGGACAACCGCGGACCUGCUUGGCAGGGAUGAGGAAAGUCCGGGCUUCAGAGGGCAGGAUGCCAGCUAACGGCUGGGCGGGGCGACCCGACGGAAAGUGCCGCAGAAAAGAAGACUCCCACUAGCGCCUUGGCGCUAAGGAAAAGCUGAAACGGUGCGGUAAGAGCGCACCAGCGCGCUGGUAACAGCGUGGCUUGGAAAACCCCAUCCGAAGCAAGUGCAAAUAGGAACGCUAUGCGACGGCCCUUUCGCGCGUUCGGGUUGCAUGCUAGAGGCGCAUGGUGACGUGCGCAGUAGAUAAAUGGUUGUCUUAAACGACAGAACCCGGCUUACAGGCCCGCUCCAUCU